GGGGCAGCUCAGUGAAAGCACAUGACAGGGAGUGCAAAAAUAAAGAGAAACUUCUCUUUGUUUUGCAUCUUUUUCUUCGCAGGCCCUCCAGACUGCUCCUUCUUCUGGAUUCAAGCAAACCCCAAACAAGCAUACAGAAAUGAAUGCAGCAGCAGCAGCAGCAGAACCCGAGGGCGCUAAAGCCAACCCUCCUAAGUCGAAGGAGACAAGACUGUUCAAGAGCAAGCCUCCCAAAGCUGGUUUAAAGGAAUUUGAUGAUGUACCUGGGAUGGACGGCAUUGGAGAUACAGAAGUCAUCUGCCCUUGGGAGACUUUUCACAACGUGGAGCUGAGUGAUCUGACUGAGUUUGGCAUCGUAUAAACCAUGUGCUAACAAAACGUAGUUUAUUCAUCGUGGCUACAAUCCAGCUGAUUUAUUGUUCUCUUGGUUUGAUGGCAAUACGCUGGUCGGGUUUCUGAGUGGGAACAGCUGAUGAAAUUGAGGAAGCUAUUGAUGUGUAACUUCCCACAUUCUGGGUCACUCGCUGCAAGCUGCAACUUUAGGCUUCACAUUUUUUAGUCACUUAUCAAGAAGUUUCUGUUGUAAGGUUAUCUAUCUAUCUAUCUAUCUAUCUAUCUAUCUAUCUAUCUAUCUAUCU